rnacentral:rRNA from 1 species
AUCUGGGCGGCGAAAUUCAGGAUGGCUGGCGGGCCUCGCGCACGUCCGGCCGUUUGAUAUUUUCGUCGCCGUGUCAGACGUCGCGACCUGUUCGUCGUCGGUCCCUGCUCGGAGGAAUCUCGCGAUCGAGCUCGUUGUGAGCGUGUCUCGGCACGCUUCACGGCGAAGACGCGGAUCUCUGGCUGACGACGGACAGUAAGCAACGGUGUCCGACGCCGUGUUUACGCACUCGGCGUCGGUGCCGGUCGGCGACGAUUUCUUCGGGCCUCUUUCCGACCCGUCUUGAAACACGGACCAAGGAGUCUAACAUGCGCGCGAGUCGCGGGGUGUCGAGCGUACCACGGUGCGCUCGUUAUUCCACGAAACCCGUUUAAAUACGAAGGCGUAAUGAAAGUGAAUGGGGAAGAUGGCGUUUCCGAGUUCACGUUCCGUGAUCCAGUAUCGCGGCCGGACGCCCGCAUUCCCGGGGCGUCUCAAUGGCUCGUCGCGGAUGCGGACGGCCGUCUCUUCGGGGGCGGCCGUCGGUCUGCGACGGACCGA